AAUUGAGAGUUUGAUCCUGGCUCAGGACGAACGCUGGCGGUGUGCUUAACACAUGCAAGUCAACGAGAAUUUUAUCUUCGGAUAAAUAAUAAAGUGGCGAACGGGUGAGUAACGCGUAAAUAACUUGCCUUGGAGAUUGGGACAACAUUGGGAAACCAGUGCUAAUACCAAAUAAUGCAAUAAGUUCUUCGGGACAUAUUGUUAAAGUAGGCUUCGGCUUACACUUCAAGAUAGAUUUGCGUCCGAUUAGUUAGUUGGUAGGGUAAUAGCCUACCAAGACUGAGAUCGGUAGCUGGUCUGAGAGGAUGAUCAGCCACACUGGAAUUGAGAUACGGUCCAGACUCCUACGGGAGGCAGCAGUGAGGAAUUUUGCACAAUGGGCGAAAGCCUGAUGCAGCAACACCGCGUGAUUGAUGAAGUUUUUAGGAAUGUAAAAAUCUGUCGUAAGUGAAGAAAUGUUUCGGAUGUUAAUACCAUCUGUCAUUGACGGUAACUUACAAGAAAGGACCGGCUAACUUCGUGCCAGCAGCCGCGGUAAUACGAGGGGUCCUAGCGUUGUCCGGAUUUACUGGGCGUAAAGGGUACGUAGGCGUUUUAAUAAGUUAUAUGUUAAAUAUCUUGGCUUAACCAAGAAAGUGCAUAUAAAACUGUUAAAAUAGAGUUUGAGAGAGGAACGCAGAAUUCAUGGUGGAGCGGUGACAUGCGUAGAUCUCCUGAGGAAAGUCACAUGCGAAGGCAGCCUUCUGGCUCAAAACUG
rnacentral:rRNA from 1 species